UUAAAUUGAAGAGUUUGAUCAUGGCUCAGAUUGAACGCUGGCGGCAGGCCUAACACAUGCAAGUCGAACGGUAACAGGAAGCAGCUUGCUGUUUCGCUGACGAGUGGCGGACGGGUGAGUAA
rnacentral:rRNA from 2 species